UCUCUGUAUAUUUGUAUUUAAACAUAUGGGUAGGAGGUGCCAUAUUGAUUCCAAUAGACAGUAUGAGGGUAUAGCACCAUCUGGGCUUGACCGGAGGCAAAGUGUUCGGCGAGGGUAUUGCUGCGGACACCACUGGAGGAUUUGGGUAAACUAUAUCAAGUAUGAGAGAGAGCGUGUGUGCUCAGUCUAAUCAGGCACUCACAUCCUUUGUGUCACAUGAGUUAAUGUUCUGGUACUAUUUGCUAACAGGAUCGCUAUUCCCUUAAAAAAGAUUGUUUACCAUGGUAUGUGUCUAAAAGAAUAUAAAGUGUUAUUGUAUAUUUUCCCUAGCAGUUUUCCCUAACUUCUAUGAAUGUUGUCAUAAUGAAACAUGGACCCCAAACUGGCCACACCUCAUCCCAUCCAAAGCCUGUCCCCUAUCCACCUAAGCCCCAUCUAUUACAUGACAGUCCAGGACCUUUUUAGUGACCUGGUCCCUGGCCAGUCUUCGUCCCUCACAAUGGGCCCUGUGCUAAGCACAAUUCAGAAGGAACGGCCCCCUAAAUUUACUGAAAACCUAUACAGAGAGGUCCCAUAAAACUAUGGCAGCAUAGGUAGUCCCCUGUACUAAGCACAAUUCAGCAGGAACAGCCUCUAAGUUUGCCCAAAGCCUGUACAGAGAGGUUCCAUAAAACUAUGGCAGAAUAGGUAUUCCCCUGUACUAAGCACAAAUCAGCAAGGGCAGCCCCCUACGUUUGCUUCCAUAAAACUAUGACAGCAUAGGUAUUCCUUUGUACUAAGCACAAUUUAGCAGGAACAGCCCCCUAAGUUUGCGCAUAGCCUGUAUAAGGAGAUAUCGUAGAACUGUGUCAGCAAUGUUACUAAGCACCAUUCUACUGGAACCUCUAGUUAUACAGCCAUCCACAACUCUGUACAUAACACUGUUAGUAGUUAUUAUUUAUAUCAUGGCCCUACCUUACCCACCCUCCUGGUUCUAUCUAACAUAUGCCUUCUCGCAGAUUUGGAGCAAGCAGCGGCACUGCUACUUUCGGGAGCUUAGCCAACGAAAACACGCCAACCUAUGGCUCUAUUUCCCAGCAGGCCCCUGGGUUUGGGUUAGGUACAGAUGCAGCCACAGGAAACACUGGAGCUGCCCGGAGCACACUGAACAUGUGCAGUGCCACAGACACACAGAAGAUGGCCUAACAAGGUCCAAGAUGGGGAGCUGGUGGGAACAACUUUGAAGACCAUGGAUCAUUUCUAAAGUGCUGCUGUACUUCUGCGCUGGUGUGAAGCAGCGAGCCAACGGGGCCCUGGCUUUUGCCCUUGAGCAGUCAUGUUCUGUAAUCUCACGGGUAAUAUCCUCCUUUAUAUUCUGAGUACUCUCAGGUAACUUUAUUUCCUUUAUAUUCUAAGUUUUCAUAGGCAAGAUCAUUCAUUUAUAUUCUAAGUACUCACAGGCAAUGUCUUUCCUUUAUAGUCUAAGUACUCACAUGCAAAGUCUUUCCUUUAUAUUCUAAGUACUCACUAGCAAGAUCAUUCCUUUAUAUUCUAAGUACUGACAAGCAGUGUCUUUCCUUUAUAUUCUAAGUACUCACAGGCAAUGUAUUUCCUUUAUAUUCUAGGUAUUCACCGGCAAUGUCUUUCCUUUAUAUUCUAAGUACUCACAGGCAAUGUAUUUCCUUUAUAUUCUAGAUAUUCACCGGCAAUGUCUUUCCUUUAUAUUCUAAGUACUCACAGGCAAUGUAUUUCCUUUAUAUUCUAGGUAUUCACCGGCAAUGUCUUUCCUUUAUUAUAUUCUAAGUACUCACAGGCAAUGUCUUUCCUUUAUAUUCUAAGUACUCACAGGCAAUGUCUUUCCUUUAUAUUCUAAGUACUCACAGGCAAUGUCUUUCCUUUAUUUUCUAAGUACUCACAGGCAAGAUCACUGCUUCAUAUUCUAAGUACUCACAGGCAAUGUCUUUCCUUUAUAUUAUAAGUACUCACUGGCAAUAUCCAUCCUUAAAUUCUAACAGACAAGUCUCCCUCCCUCCCCCUUUAAAGUCUAAGUACAGACAAGGUCCUUUCUUGAAAUUUUAUCUAAGUACUCACAGGUAAUACCCAUCCUAAGUGCUCACAGGAAAGGCACAUCUUUUAUUUUCUAAGACGAGGCCAUUCCUUUAUACUGUUAUAUAAUCAUAAGCAAUGCCCUUCUUCUAUAUUCCAAGUACCCAAAAGCAAGGUCCUGCCCUUAUAUUCUAAGGGCUUAUGGGAAAGGCCCAUGUUUUAUAUUUUAAGUACUUAGAGGCAAGGCCCUUCUUUUAAGACCAUUCCCUAUAUUCUCACAGGUAAUAUCCUUCCUUUGUAUUCUAAGUACUUAAAGAUAAGACCAUUCCUUUAUAAUCACCAGCAAGAGCCUUUCUUCUCCACUUUGUGCGGAUGAAUGCCCUUCAUCCCAUUUUGUCUUGCCCACUAUAAACAUUUCCCAGCUAUAUAAGGAGAUGUAAGCUAAAUGUGACCUGCAGGCUAACAAACACAAACUAGUAGCCUGUGGCAACCAAUCAUCUGGUCUAGAAACACAAGACCUGGUUAGUUGCUAUGGGUUACUAGACCUGGUGCAAACUUUGUAAAUUUUAUGACAAUUUUAUGACCCUAAUAGUCAAUUUUGUUUUGUUGUAUUAUUUGGUGUUUCAGACUUAAAAGGCUUCCAUAUUCUCAUUUCCCAUCCAAUUCCAUCCGUUCCCUGUAAAAAACAAGUCCAUAUCUCUAUCAGACUUACAGAGACAUAAUGAAACCUGUUAUGUCUCAUGCUCAUUCAAUCUCAGUUCUGAGAUGACUAUUUAGACGGAGGUGAUAAAAAGAAGAAAGCAGAAAUUUUCUGUAAAUGAUCAAGAACAAGACCUUUUUUAAAAUUAGAACGUUUUUGCUCACUCACAAUUUGUAUACGAAACUCAGCAUGUCCACACACAUACAAAAUAAAAAUCAAGUAGCUUGCAGUGAUUUGAAGCUUAGAACAGUGGAUAGACAUAUACAAAGAACAGCUUUUCCACAACUGUUCAAACACACAGGAGUUAUGGGUGGACAACUAGGGUCAGACUGGACUGCUGGAGCACCAGAGAAUCCCCCAAUGGGACCCAGAUUUCAUUAUAACUUUGAUCAGCCCUUUCUUAUUUUCCACAAAGUCCUAUAGCACACCAAUAUGAUUUAGCCCUAUAUAUACAACAUAUAUUGUUUUUUAAGAGUGGACCCUUGGUAUUAUUAGGUUCUCAGGUUGCCUUUAGGAGGCCCAGUCUGACCCUGAGCACAACCAUAACCUCAACUCCUAACCAAGAUCAAGAAAAAGUUAUCAGACAUAGAACAUUUGAAACCUCUUAAUCAAUGUGAUCACGAGUAUGUCGACUUGCUACCAAACACUAAAUAUAGGACACAAGGCAGGCUGGUCACACUGCAUUCCAUCAGAGGCAAGACAGUGUGGAUAUGGCCGAUUACUUGCAGAUUUAACCUCUAUUAUAUGAGCUAUUCUUUUUGUUCCAUCCUGUGCAAAUGACAAUUACCCUUUUCUACUGCCUUUUCCAAAUGACUUCAUGUGCCCCUAAAAAUGCUCCAGGUCUAUUAGAUUGUGCUUCCACCUAUGCAAAGGCUCUAAAUAUGGGGUAAAAGGGGGUUAGGUCACCUAAUCUGUCUCUAUCAUCCAGCUUACCCUCAGUCUUUCAUUUCGUAACGUAUUGUGGUUAUAAAAAAAAUAACAAAAAAACAUUGGCCAGCAAUGUUUUUAUUCAACCCUUAGUAGCCGAGCAAUUGGCUACCUUUCCCUGAGUUUGAUUGCUACUGAAAUUUGAGUACAACACACCUUCCAAACAAAAAAUACCUCAUGUGUCAUAGGAACCAACUGACACUUUAUCCAACAUCAUCUCCCAUUAGAAAAAAAAACAGCACCCACCCCCAAAAAAAGCUCCAAAUAUUAUGUCGCUGGGUAGGAAACCCAAAUAUUAAAUGUUGCAUAAUGAAAGCAAAUAUAGUUAUAAGCAACGGCCCGAUAUAAAUUAAUUACACUUUUCAGUCUUUUAGGGUCCUCAAGGGUAGUUAUGCCACUGCCCAUAGUGGCUUGCAUGUUCUCUUGGCAUGAGGAGUGCCAGCUACUGCUACAUCAUUCGAAUGUUCAGGACCAGUAGUGCAAAUAAGGACAGACAAAUACUGCUUUACUGACAACUUUAAAAUCUUCCAAAGAUCUUGACAAGGGUAAAAGGGAACACUGAGUAGAAUUAUAUUUGCUUUCAUUAAAUGUUAUAUUUGGGUUUUCUUCCCCUUUAAAAUGAUAAACCUAUAAGGAAGAUUUUGGCAAUGUUGCAAAAUGCAAAAAUAAAUUUGAUUAAAAAAAAUCAUAAAUAACUUCCAGAUGUCCAGUUUGUAGAUUUCUUCUAAUCAGUUUAGACUUUGUAACGCAACCCGUUCUAUAGGGUUUAAAGGCCAUAAAUUUGAAAAAAUUAGGUCUCUCUCAUGCGACCAAGACUCUAGACUUCAGUAGGUAGGAUUUCCUCCUAUAUCCUGGUCACCCUAAGAAGUCCUUGCAGAUGGCCUACAAGAGUCUACAAAGCUUAUUUGUUGGACCUUAUCCUUGAGGGUCGCAACUCUUCUUCCUGUUCUGGAUCCCACUUAGUGGACAAGGCAGCUCACCCUCACAAAUAUAAAAUAACACAGUGAUAACCGAGCUUACAAUAAAGCAAAAAUUAUAUGA